rnacentral:rRNA from 1 species
UACGUAGGGGGCUAGCGUUGUCCGGAAUCAUUGGGCGUAAAGAGCGUGUAGGCGGUCCGGUAAGUCCGCUGUGAAAGUCGGGGGCUCAACCUCGAAUGCCGGUGGAUACUGUCGGGCUAGAGUGCGGAAGAGGCGAGUGGAAUUCCUGGUGUAGCGGUGAAAUGCGCAGAUAUCAGGAGGAACACCUAUUGCGAAGGCAGCUCGCUGGGACGUAACUGACGACUGAGACGCGAAAGCGUGGGGAGCGAACAGG